rnacentral:rRNA from 1 species
UACGUAGGGUGCAAGCGUUUGUCCGGAAUUAUUGGGCGUAAAGAGCUUGUAGGCGGUUUUGUCGCGUCUGCUGUGAAAUUUCGGGGCUCAACCCCGAACUUGCAGUGGGUACGGGCAGACUAGAGUGUGGUAGGGGAGACUGGAAUUCCUGGUGUAGCGGUGAAAUGCGCAGAUAUCAGGAGGAACACCGAUGGCGAAGGCAGGUCUCUGGGCCAUAACUGACGCUGAGAAGCGAAAGCAUGGGGGAGCGAACAGG